rnacentral:lncRNA from 10 species
CGCAGGGACAGCUCAGCUGCAGAACUUUGCACGGUGGUGACUAGUACGAGGUUGACCUUGAAUGUGGAGGAAAAAAAUCCAGCAAUAUUCUUCAUUUAUUCAACAAGCAUUUAUUGAGUAGCUAACUGCUUGCCAAGCACUGUUUAAGGAAUACAGUGGUGAGCAGAUGGACAAAACAAAAACUUCUGACCUCAUGGAACUUAAAUCCUUGUGGGGAAGACAGACACCAAGCGAUCCAAUUUCCAUCAUUGAUUGCACUAUUUGAAAAGAUCCUUUUAUACAAUGAAGAGGCAAACGUGGUGGAAUCAAAUCCUCAUUUAUGACUAGCCCCAGUAUGUAGAGAUUGGAAGACACUCUGAAUUGUAAAGGAAUUUAAAGUAUAUUGAUCAACUGCCUGGGUGCUACUAAAUAAGAUAGGAAGGAAGAAAACUAAUCUUUUUGAAGACCUACUUUAUAUGCUGGGUAACUUAUAUAAUUUUUAUUUAAUAUUAUACCAUGAAGUAUAAUUAAUACCAGUUUACAAAUGAGGAAACUGAAGCAACAGAAGCCAUCAAGAUAAACAGCUUGUCCUAAGUCAGUGAAAGAGAAGGAAUGGUGCUAUACUCUGAACCCAGGGUGUCUGACUGUGAAGCUGACUCCUAUUUCAUUGCACUACAGCAUUCCCCAAUAUAAUACAGAAAACUCAAGUGGUUAUUGCUCAUGCUAUGGAAUACAAGACUCAAGUUAAAAGUGAUCUUGGUCAGUUGUAAAGAGGAGGGCCUAACAAAAGAAUGAAAAAGGAAAGAAUGAAAAAGGAAAGAAUGAACAAUUCAAUAAGGAACUAAUAAUUCCGAAAGAAAAACAAGAGGAGAAAGGACUUCCUGGCCAAAGUGCAGAAAAGAAAGAUCUGGUAAUAUGAUCAAUACAAUUCUGAAAUGUAUGAGAGUAAUGGCAUGCACAUAAUCCUGGAGCAUGAUAUACUAGUCAUCAUGUGGAUGAGGAAAAGGAAUCAAAGAAAAGAAGCACAAAUGAUCAACGAGGUAAAAAAGAAGGACUACGAAGAAGGAUAAAAGGAACUAGGGUCAUUUAUCUAAUGCAGGAGAAGGCAAGCAGGUGACCUGCCAUCGGAGCUUCCCAAGAGUAAAGAUCAUUUCUUACCACCUUUGCUGUCUAGUGAUUAACAGUCUCUUUAACACGGUGGGCAUUUGACAAGCCUUUACUGAACGGAUAUUGUAAAAGACACAAGAAGCAUUUGUAAAGAGAACAAUAACCAUGAGUGGUCUGUGUAUAGAUGGAGAAAAAUAUUUUUGAACAUAUAAGUGUAAAAGCAGGAGUUCAAGUUUGUACAGAGAAAGGCUGAGAGAGGCUUUCCCCUGUCUAUGCACAAUGUAGUCAGUAUUCAGUAAAAGAGCAAGUAAAUGAAUUUUGGUUGUAUUCAGUCCAUGAAACUGGAAUAAAUUACAAAGGAGGUUUAUUCCGCCCUUGGGUUAAAGAAUUGUCAUCUGACACUAGAGAGGUCAGUUAUUACUGUCCUUCCCAAUCUCUAACAAGUCUAAAAAUGCUACAUAUUUUUUUCUUUAUUCUCACUGCCAUCUAUUUCUCUUCUGGAUUUUUAUGCCUGACUCCCAAGUAGAUACCUUAGCCAGUGUCUUUGACAUAGUGCAGCCGUAUGGAUCUUCCUAAAUAAUAGCUCCAAUCAAGUCACUCUUUCAUUUAAAAAAACAAAAUCAAAUCCAAGAGCUUCUAAAUGAUUAUUUCAAAAGGCCUUCCAUGAGCUAACUCCAACCCCCUUUCCUAAUAUUAUGCCACCCUCCUUUCUGAAAUACACCAAACGGAAAUGCCCAGUUUCCCCAAACCCUCAAUAUUUCCCUUCCCAAGGCCUUUGCUCCUGCUGCAUAGGAGCUUUCCCUACUCAAUUUGUGUAGGUUCAAAUCCUAUCCAUCUUCAAAGGCCACACAUUCCAACUACUGCUCCUAAUUGCUUUGCAGAAAAGUAUUCUCUCUCCUGCUGAACUCCUAGAGCACCUUGCUUGUCCCCUCUUGCACAGAACUUAACUAUUUUCAAACUCAAGUUCAGUUAUUUUGGUAAAUCUUUAUGUCAUACACUAAACAUAAAUUCCUUGAGACAAAAGUAGUCUUACUCAUCUUUGUGGCCCUCACAUGCUAAGAAAGAAGGAAGAUGUUUGAACAUGAGCUCCACUGAGGAUGCCAAGAGAUGGCCAGGAAGAAAAGAAGGGUUUUUCUUAGUAUGGUGAUGACAGAUGAGAGUCUACUGUGGUUUGAAUGUCCUCUGCAAAAUUCAUGUUGCAAAUUUAGUUGCCAUUGUAAGAGUCAGUAUUAAGAGGUGGAGUCCUUAAGAGAUGAUUAAGUCAUGAGGUCAGAGUUCUCAUGAAUGGAUUAAUGUCAUUAUUGUGGAAGUGGGUUUCUGAUAAAAGGAUGAGUUUGGUCUGAUUUCUCCUCUCUGUCUCUCUUGCUUGCUUCUGCCUUCUGUCAUGAGAUGACCCUACCAGAUACCAGCAAAAUGCUCUUGGAUUGCCCAGCCUCCAGAACCA